rnacentral:rRNA from 1 species
CCUACGGGUGGCAGCAGUGAGGAAUAUUGGUCAAUGGGAGAGAUCCUGAACCAGCCAAGCCGCGUGAGGGAAGACGGCCCUAUGGGUUGUAAACCUCUUUUGUCGGAGAACAAAACCCGGGACGUGUCCCGGACUGCGUGUAUCCGAAGAAAAAGCAUCGGCUAACUCCGUGCCAGCAGCCGCGGUAAUACGGAGGAUGCGAGCGUUAUCCGGAUUUAUUGGGUUUAGAGGGUGCGUGGGCGGUCCGUUAAGUCAGCGGGAAAAUUGCGGGGCUCAACCCGGUCGAGCCGUUGAAACUGGCAGGCUUGAGUUGGCGAGAAGUAGGCGGAAUGCGCGGUGUAGCGGUGAAAUGCAUAGAUAUCGCGAAGAACUCCGAUGGCGAAGGCAGCGUACCGGCGCCAGACUGACGCUGAGGCACGAAAGCGUGGGGAUCGAACAGGAUUAGAUACCCGGGUAGUC